GAUGAACGCUGGCGGCGUGCCUAAUACAUGCAAGUCGAGCGAAGCGGGGACGGGUGCGUAACACGUGGAUAACCUCAUCUAAGACUGGGAUAAAUUCGGGACACCGGAGCUAACCCGGAUACUAAUAGAUAGAUCAUAGCUGCAUUAGUUAGUUGGUAAGGCAACGGCGUACAACGGCAACGAUGCAUAGCCGACCUGAGAGGGGGAUCGGCCAAACUGGAACUGAGACACGGUCCAGACGCCUACGGGGGGCAGCAGUGGGGAAUCUUCUGCAAUGGGCGAAAGCCUGACGAAGCAACGCCGCGUGAGUGAGGAAGGUCUUCGGAUCGUAAAACUCGGUUAUUAGGGAAGCGGUACCUAAUCAGAAAGCCACGGCUAACUACGUGCCAGCAGCCGCGGUAAUUC
rnacentral:rRNA from 1 species